UCUUUGUGAGCCAUUUUCUCCAACACCACCACACAUUUUGACUUCCACCCACUGCCUCCGCCAUAGCCACCGCGGCCAUCGUUGACCUCCACUAAGACCCACUGCCACCACCAUACUUUUUUCCCUCUUUUUUGUUGUUCUAGUUUCUUCAAAGUUUUUGGUUGGAAUCUUUUUGUUGUUCAAGUUUCUUUAGAGUUAGAGAAAACUCUUAUUCAGAUUUGGCUUCUUGUGCAAAAGGACUUGAGGAUCAUGGGCUGAAUCAUU